rnacentral:piRNA from 1 species
UGGGCCUCACCUGGUGUCUAGUCUCAAGA